GGGGCGGGGGCGCCCACAAGCAGGAAGUGUAGGCAGGCAGGGAGCGCUGCUUUUCCUCCGGAAGACCUCUAUAGAUCUGAGCGGCCUCUGGAACGUUCCAUCCACUCUAGGGGCGUGUCUUCUCUCCGUUCAUCCUUCCUGGAAGUGCCUCCGCUAAUCUGCCCAGAUGAUUGGCUCUUAGUUGAUUCCCGGUUCAUCCAAGUUGACAAGAGCAAAGAUGGGCAAAGAGCUCACGGGUUACUUUACAGAACCCGAGACCGUGCAGCGGACAGAGCCAACGCUUGUAAAAGAGAAGACUGAGCACAGAUAUAAUGAAGAGUGGGUAUGGUGUCUGUGCGCAGAGUUGGGUGUAUGUCACCACGAGGAGAUUUUACAGAAUUUAGUGGGGUAACAAGGGACUGAGAGCUGGUUGUCCUGAGGGAGAGGAGACAUCGAAACGGAAGCAAAAUAAAGGCAACGCUUCAGAAUAAAGAGACUUCUCUCCUGA
rnacentral:lncRNA from 1 species